rnacentral:rRNA from 1 species
GUGGGGAAUCUUGCGCAAUGGGCGAAAGCCUGACGCAGCCAUGCCGCGUGAAUGAUGAAGGUCUUAGGAUUGUAAAAUUCUUUCACCGGGGACGAUAAUGACGGUACCCGGAGAAGAAGCCCCGGCUAACUUCGUGCCAGCAGCCGCGGUAAUACGAAGGGGGCUAGCGUUGCUCGGAAUUACUGGGCGUAAAGGGUGCGUAGGCGGGAAGGUGUGUCGACCUGUAAAUCUAUCGUUUCAAGCGGUAGGCUUGGGUUGAAACUGCCUUUCUAGAGGAUUUCAGGGGAGUUUGGAAUUUACGGUGUAGCAGUGAAAUGCGUGGAUAUCGUAAGGAAGGCUUGUGGCGAAGGCGAAACUCUGGGGAAUACCUGACGCUGAGGCGCGAAGGCUAGGUUAGCAAACGGGAUUAGAUACCCCGGUAGUCC